rnacentral:lncRNA from 1 species
CGGCAAUGCAGUUUGCUUGUACACGUCGCGCCGCCUAGCAGCGGUGAUUAGAACCCACGGGGCGGCCCUUCGCGCCAUUCCACCGUUGUGCGCAUUGCGAACAGGCGCAAUGGAUUUACCGCAGCCCGUUGACAACUCCGUCGUCAGAGGUGGAAAAAAAAGAACAAACGCAGAUACUGCUGCGUUAAAGAUUGCCACAAUAAAGAAGGGGAUGUCGGCAUCAUGAUGUAUCGCUUCCCAUCGAGACCGUGGGAAGCAACUCGGCGGCAGAAGUGGAUCGCAGCUGUUCGGCGCGUCAAUGCCGAUGACCUGUCAUCUUGGCAACCGAACGAGAAUACCAGGAUAUGCUCGAGGCAUUUCGUCAACGGCGAAAAAAGCACCAUCGAGCAUCAUUCUGGUUACCUUCCUACAAUAUUUCUGUUCUCGCUUACCUUUCCCAACCCAGCAAAUAUUAGGCAAGCUCUUAGUAAUAAAACAAGUGACAGCUGAUCGAGAAACGUAUACGGUCGUAUUUGUGCGCUUAAGUGGGAUAAGAUAAUUAUUUUUCAGCUUGUAGUUCAACGUCGUAAGCAUGCUUGCUUUGCUGUGACAAGCACUUCGCUGCGAUGUCGGUGUUCACUUCUUUAACACCAUACACAUGGUCGUUGUCGUACAGUGCGCGUCCCUUUUCAAGCGUCGGUGGUCGAAAAUGGGCAUCGAUGUUUUCAAUCGCCUUAAAACCGCAAUACAAAACCAGCGACAUGCUUCAAACAGCACGACAAACACACGCCAUGCACGUUAGAAAUGGCUCGUUGGCCGCCUCGACGCUACGCGGAAUCGACA